rnacentral:rRNA from 1 species
UAAUAGCUCACUGGUCGAGUCGGCCUGCGCGGAAGAUGUAACGGGGCUAAACCAUGCACCGAAGCUGCGGCAGCGACACUAUGUGUUGUUGGGUAGGGGAGCGUUCUGUAAGCCUGUGAAGGUGUACUGUGAGGUAUGCUGGAGGUAUCAGAAGUGCGAAUGCUGACAUAAGUAACGAUAAAGCGGGUGAAAAGCCCGCUCGCCGGAAGACCAAGGGUUCCUGUCCAACGUUAAUCGGGGCAGGGUGAGUCGACCCCUAAGGCGAGGCCGAAAGGCGUAGUCGAUGGGAAACAGGUUAAUAUUCCUGUACUUGGUGUUACUGCGAAGGGGGGACGGAGAAGGCUAUGUUGGCCGGGCGACGGUUGUCCCGGUUUAAGCGUGUAGGCUGGUUUUCCAGGCAAAUCCGGAAAAUCAAGGCUGAGGCGUGAUGACGAGGCACUACGGUGCUGAAGCAACAAAUGCCCUGCUUCCAGGAAAAGCCUCUAAGCAUCAGGUAACAUCAAAUCGUACCCCAAACCGACACAGGUGGUCAGGUAGAGAAUACCAAGGCGCUUGAGAGAACUCGGGUGAAGGAACUAGGCAAAAUGGUGCCGUAACUUCGGGAGAAGGCACGCUGAUAUGUAGGUGAAGUCCCU